rnacentral:tRNA from 2 species
ACGCUUGAUCAGUGCUGCCCACUGCCCUCCGAAGGCAGGGGUUGCUGGUUCGAUCCCAGCCGGGCGCGCCA